rnacentral:rRNA from 1 species
CAGAUCGCAGUCGGCUUUAUGUCGGCGACGGGUCCUUCAAAUGUCUGCCCUAUCAUCUUUCUAUGGUAGGUGACCUGCCUACCAUGGUGAUAACGGGUAACGGGGAAUCAGGGUUCGAUUCCGGAUAGGGAGCCUGAGAAACGGCUACCACUUCCAAGGGAGGCAGCAGGCGCGCAAAUUACCCACUCCCGGUACGGGGAGGUGGUGACGAAAAAUACCGAUGCGGGACUCAUCAACGAGGCUCCGUAAUCGGAAUGAGUGGACUCUAAAUCCUUUCACGAGGAUCAAUUGGAGGGCAAGUCUGGUGCCAGCAGCCGCGGUAACUCCAGCUCCAAUAGCGUAUAUUAAAGUUGCUGCAGUUAAAAAGCUCGUAGUUGGAUCUCGGUAGCAUUGUUGCCUGCUUAGUUGUCAUGCUCUACGGCGUGCAUCAUAUCGUGUGUGCUUGUAUUACCUUUGUUCGUAAGAGCUUGGGUGUAUGAGUGCCACGGUGGGUGUACAUUAAAACCCUAGUGCAUUGAGCUGGCAUGGCGAUGGUGUCACCUUUGAGCCAUGUCUGUGGUGUAACAGCCACAGGUGUAAUCGAGUGUCGGGCAGUGCUCUGCACUUGUUGUGGAGCCUAGUCGGCUCGUUUACAUGCCAAUGAAUGCCCUUCAAAGGUGUUCAUGGGCGGAUGGCACGUUUACUUUGAACAAAUUUGAGUGCUCAAUCAGGCCGAUGUUGCCUGAAAACUUUUGCAUGGAAUAAUGGAAUAGGACUUCGGUUCUAUUUCGUUGGUUUUCGGAUCCGAAGUAAUGAUCAAAAGAGACAGGCGGGGACGUUUGUAUGGCUGCGCUAGAGGUGAAAUUCAUGGACCGUAGCCAGACAAACUAAAGCGAAAGCAUUCGUCAAGCAUGUUUUCAUUGGCCAUGAGCGAAAGUCAGAGGCUCGAAGACGAUCAGAUACCGUCCUAGUUCUGACCAUAAACGAUGCCAACUGACGAUCCGUGGCGGUAGUCUUCAAACCUUCCCCACGGGCAGUCCCCGGGAAACCUUUAGUCUUUGGGUUCCGGGGGAAGUAUGGUUGCAAAGCUGAAACUUAAAGGAAUUGACGGAAGGGCACCACCAGGAGUGGAGCCUGCGGCUUAAUUUGACUCAACACGGGAAAACUCACCCGGGCCGGACACUAUGAGGAUUGACAGAUUGAUAGCUCUUUCUUCGAUUUGGUGGUUGGUGGUGCAUGGCCGUUCUUAGUUGGUGGAGCGAUUUGUCUGGUUAAUUCCGAUAACGAACGAGACUCCAGCCUGCUAAUUAGUGCAUUUGUCCACUGCACCAGCCGAGCGGCGCAGUGUCAACUGCUUGGGUUCAGUGUGGGAUUCAGUGCGUUUGUGCAGUCUACAUAGGUGAGGCUGUUCUGCAGUUUCACUUGUGUAUGGCUGUACGGCGUAUUUGGCCCGCAUGAUGUACUCGGGUGGAUGGCACCACGUUAGCUAGCAUCUACGGCGUGAAUGAUUAAUUCUUAGAGGGACACGUGGGAGAAGCCGCACGAAAUAGAGCAAUAACAGGUGUGUGAUGCCCUUAGAUGUCCGCGGCCGCACGCUCGUUACAAAGGCGGUGUCAACGAGUUAGACCUUCUGGCCUGAAAAGGUUGGGUAAACUGGUCAAUCACCGUCAUGACAGGGAUCGGGGCUUGGAAUUGUUCCCCGUGAACGAGGAAUUCCUAGUAAGUGCAAGUCAUAAGCUUGCGCUGAUUACGUCCCUGCCCUUUGUACACACCGCCCGUCGCUACUACCGAUUGAAUGGUUUAGUAAGGUCCUUGGAUUGG